rnacentral:lncRNA from 1 species
GUCUAUUUGCGUUAGAGAAAAAUGAACAACAUCACCACUAGUUUGGGAAAAAGGACUAAAACACACCAGUAGCGCCCCAGUCUGUAUCAUACAGAGAUAAAUAAUCAACAAACGUCUAUCAAGCUUAGGGUUGGUCACGCUUAACUAAUAAUAACGUGUGUACGUUAAUAACAAAAGGAAUUAUUCAAAUCAUACACAGGUCUACCGGCAUUGGACGGUGACAUCCGCCGAAACCUCUAGAAGGGGAUCUGCACAACCGUUGGAUGACCAAGCUUUUACACUUUAUUCCGGGUUUUAUUCGUGAUUCACAAUGCUGUGUGUUCUGCCUUUGGAGUCGUGGGCUCGUGGGUGUCAAAAACUGUUGUGAUAUGUCGGAUAGGUAAUUUCCAAGGAAAAAGGAAAAUAGCAUCAUCCGGCGCUGUCAACAUAAAUUCCAAGUCUACUGAAGAUGUUUAAAACUGUUCCAAUUCUAUCGUUCUUUGUUUGUUUUUUUAUUAUAAUACUCAUAUUGGAUUCUAAAUUUUUAAAGGAACAAUGAAGAAGGACUGAACAUGAAUGAAGAGAAAUGUUAGAAUAGACUAGCCGAUACUUUGCCUCUGCAA